AAGUCGUAACAAGGUUUCUGUAGGUGAACCUGCAGAAGGAUCAUUAGUGAAGAUUUGGGCAGGCCAUACGGACGCCAAAAAGUGUCCCUGGCCGCCUACACCCACUAUACAUCCACAAACCCGUGUGCACUGUCUUGGAGAAAGGCUUCAGAGAAGUUUUUUGUGGCCUCUCUCGGGGUCUUUCUUCGCUACAAACUCGAAUGGUUAGUAUGAACGUGGAACUUGGUUGGACCGUCACUGGCCAACAAACUAUACACAACUUUCGACAACGGAUCUCUUGGUUCUCCCAUCGAUGAAGAACGCAGCGAAACGCGAUAGGUAAUGUGAAUUGCAGAAUUCCGUGAAUCAUCGAAUCUUUGAACGCACCUUGCGCUCUAUGGCAAUCCGUAGAGCAUGCCUGUUUGAGUGCCAUGAAAUCUCCCACCCCAAGCGGUUUUUAAAUGAAACGGCUUGGCGGAUGGGGUCUGGAUGGGUGCCUCUGCCUGCGCUACCUAGCACAGGCUCGCCCGAAAUGCAUGAGCGCCUUGAGACACUUUGCAUCCGCCUCUCUGUUUGGGAGGAGGCGGCCAAGCAGUGUUUUUCUCCUGGCAUGGCAUGAUACGUCAUUUGCUAUGUCGCCUAAAGGAGGAAUGUUUGGUUGUGUCUGCGUGUGCUUCGAACUUGCCUCUGUGGCACAUCCCAAUUUCACUUCUGGUCUCAAAUCANGUAGGAUCACCCGCUGAACUUAAGCAUAUCAAUA
rnacentral:rRNA from 1 species